rnacentral:sRNA from 1 species
UCUUCAAUAACGAUCGAUUUAAGUCUGAG